rnacentral:rRNA from 1 species
GAGCACGUAGGUGGGUUUGUAAGUCAGAUGUGAAAGCCUUCUGUUCAACGGAAGAAUUGCAUCUGAAACUACAAACCUUGAGUAUAGGAGGGGAGAAUGGAACUUCUGGUGGAGCGGUGAAAUGCGUAGAUAUCAGAAGGAACGCCGGCGGCGAAAGCGAUUCUCUGGCCUAUUACUGACACUCAGUGUGCGAAAGCUAGGGGAGCAAACGGGAUUAGAUACCCCGGUAGUCCUAGCCGUAAACGAUGGGCACUAAGUAGAGGGGUCUA